rnacentral:tRNA from 1 species
UCCUUGGUGGUCCAGUGGUUAAGACGCCUUGCUUCCACUGCAGGGGGUGCAGGUUCGAUCCCUGGUCGGGGAA